AUGUGGAAUCCUGGAUGGGAUUCUGGGACAGAAAAAGAACAUUACGUAAAAUUAAGGAAAUCUGAAUAAAGACCACCCAUGGCCCACUCCAUGCCCUCAUCUUGUGCCCGUGAAAACUGCAGGCUCAGCCAGCAAAGGCAGGAGAAGCAGCUGGACAUCAGAGAGAAGUGCCUUACUUCAGAGGGACAGCUCGACGGUGUAAAUUUCAAGAAGAAUCCCAGGAGACAGCUGGACUUUGAGGGAAGAUUACCUUCCUUCUCUGUCUGCUUUUCAGCUCCUCUUCCCUCUGAGAGCCACGUCCAACAGCAAUAAAAUCCCCCACAUUUACCAUCCUCCAAUUCGUUUGUGCUACUUCAUUUCUCCUGGAUGCUUGACAACAGCUCAGGUGCA
rnacentral:lncRNA from 1 species